CCUACGGGUGGCAGCAGUGGGGGAUAUUGCACAAUGGGGGAAACCCUGAUGCAGCGACGCCGCGUGGGCGAAGAAGUAUUUCGGUAUGUAAAGCCCUAUCAGCAGGGAAGAAGAAAUGACGGUACCUGAGUAAGAAGCACCGGCUAAAUACGUGCCAGCAGCCGCGGUAAUACGUAUGGUGCAAGCGUUAUCCGGAAUUACUGGGUGUAAAGGAGGCGCAGGCGGCAGGGCAAGCAUGGGGGGAAGGCCCGCGGCCCAACCGCGGGACUGCAUUGGGAACUAGCGGGCUGGAGUACCGGAGAGGUAGGCGGAAUGCGUAGUGUAGCGGUGAAAUGCGUAGAUAUUAGGAGGAACACCAGUGGCGAAGGCGGCCUACUGGACGGUGACUGACGCUGAGGCUCGAAAGCGUGGGGAGCAAACAGGAUUAGAUACCCCGGUAGUC
rnacentral:rRNA from 1 species